rnacentral:rRNA from 1 species
AUACUUAGUGGCAGACGGGUGAGUAACAUGUAGGUAUCUGCCCUUUGGCCUGGAAUAACACGAGGAAACUUGUGCUAAUACCGGAUAAGUCUUUACGGAGAAAGCUUUAUGCACCAUUGGAUGAGCCUGCACUUGAUUAGUUUGUUGGUGGGGUAAUGGCCUACCAAGACUGUGAUCAACAGCUGAUUUGAGAGGAUGAUCAGCCACAUUGGGACUGAGACACGGCCCAAACUCCUACGGGAGGCAGCAGUGGGGAAUCUUGCACAAUGGAGGAAACUCUGAUGCAGCGAUGCCGCGUGAGUGAAGAAGGCCCUUGGGUUGUAAAGCUCUUUCGUCGGGGAAGAAAAUGACUGUACCCGAAUAAGAAGGUCCGGCUAACUUCGUGCCAGCAGCCGCGGUAAUACGAAGGGACCUAGCGUAGUUCGGAAUUACUGGGCUUAAAGAGUUCGUAGGUGGUUGAAAAAGUUAGUGGUGAAAUCCCAGAGCUUAACUCUGGAACUGCCAUUAAAACUUUUCAGCUAGAGUAUGAUAGAGGAAAGCAGAAUUUCUAGUGUAGAGGUGAAAUUCGUAGAUAUUAGAAAGAAUACCAAUUGCGAAGGCAGCUUUCUGGAUCAUUACUGACACUGAGGAACGAAAGCAUGGGUAGCGAAGAGGAUUAGAUACCCUCGUAGUCCAUGCCGUAAACGAUGUGUGUUAGACGUUGGAAAUUUAUUUUCAGUGUCGCAGGGAAACCGAUAAACACACCGCCUGGGGAGUACGACCGCCAGGUUAAAACUCAAAUGAAUU